CAAGAGGUUAUCUAGUCCAAUUCCCUGCAGGACCUAGGGUGAAAGCCAGUUUCCAGUCCAGAGAUCAGGCGGUGUCUUUUGAAGGCAGCAGCUGUGCACUCUUUCUGUUGUGCUUUGGUGUUUAUAGCACUGCAGCAAGAGCUUCCCCAGGGGGUUUUGUCAAGUUGGCGUAUCUAACUGGUGGUCGGCUUUAUGACUGGUGAAGUGGAAUGUGAAGCAGAUAUUCCUGCCUUCAUCAUGAAGCUGGCUCAGAAGAAAGAAAAAGAUGUAACUGACUGGGAACAGGAAUUUCAGUUUUGUGGACUCUGUUCCAACACCCAGGAAGACCUGCAGUGGGCACACAUCACCAGCCUACGUGCCCUGUAGUGCCCCCUGGACCAGCAGGACCACAGACUGGAGGUGGACCUUGAGCUGCACCAAAACACCUGGCAGGAGCAGCUGCAGCAGAGCCAGACCAUGUGCACGGCUUUCACCGCCGCUCUCAACCA